rnacentral:rRNA from 1 species
AUGAAACGUAUAACUAAGGGUAUUCCAAAAUUUAAUCUUCAGAGAUUUCUUGAUCUUGAUCUAGAGGAAAUUUAUAUGUUUUGUGCGGUAAAUUGCAUUGAGACUCCUUAUAUUGCCAACUACCUAAAGACAAGAAAACAAGUAGAAUAUGAAGAGAGUACUAAUGAAAGGGAAAAUAUUUCCCAAUACCCUCCUAGUGUUUAUUAUGAUGAAUCAGGUAACGAGGAGGAGCUUCCUAUCCAAUCAAUCUCUUCAACAAGAAGCUUGAAAAAAUUAAUUAAGCCCACACAUGGUGUGGUGAAGAAGAAGAAAAGAAGAAAGAAUAGAGGUAAAAAGGUACCUCUCCCAAAUAAUGUUGCUCCCAUCACCAUUGUGCCUCAUGAAAGUGAAUCAAAUAUGUCGAUGGAGGAUGAUGAUAUUGAGUAUGAUUUUCUGAUACCUACUACUUGUUGUAAUGAUUAA